rnacentral:rRNA from 1 species
UGAGUACGAGAUGCUACGGCAUUGAAGCAGUCUAUGUCAUACUUCCAAGAAAAGCUUGCACUGUCAUAAACAAAUAAUGCCUGUACCAUAACCGACACAGGUGGGUAGGUAGAGAAUACUAAGGGGCGCGAGAUAACUCUCUCUAAGGAACUCGGCAAAAUGACUCCGUAACUUCGGGAGAAGGAGUGCCUUAUUUUUAAGGUUGCAAUAACAAGAUCCAAGCAACUGUUUAUCAAAAACACAGGUCUCCGCUAAGUCGUAAGACGAUGUAUGGGGGCUGACGCCUGCCCAGUGCCAGAAGGUUAAAGAAGUUGGUUAGCAUUCGCGAAGCUGAUAACUGAAGCCCUGGUGAACGGCGGCCGUAACGAUAACGGUCCUAAGGUAGCGAAAUUCCUUGUCGGGUAAGUUCCGACCCGCACGAAAGGCGUAAUGAUUUGGAUACUGUCUCGGAGAGGGGCUCGGUGAAAUAGACUUGUCUGUGAAGAUGCGGACUACCUGCACCUGGACAGAAAGACCCUAUGAAGCUUUACUGUAACUUGAAAUUGAAAUUGGACUUUAUUUGCGCAGUAUAGGUGGGAGGCUUUGAAGAUAUUCUUGCGGGAAUAUUGGAGCUAUCAGUGAGAUACCACUCUUGUAAUGUUAGAUUUCUAACUUUGUAUCAUUAUCUGGUCAAAGAACAGUUUCAGGCGGGCAGUUUGACUGGGGCGGUCGCCUCCCAAAUGGUAACGGAGGCGCACAAAGGUUUCCUCUGAACGGGUAGAAAUCGUAUCUAGAGUGUAAAGGCAUAAGGAAGCUUGACUGUGAGACCUACAAGUCGAGCAGGGACGAAAGUCGGUCUUAGUGAUCUGACGGUGCUGAGUGGAAAGGCCGUCACUCAACGGAUAAAAGUUACUCUAGGAUAACAGGCUGAUCCCCCCCAAGAGUUCACAUCGACGGGGAGGUUUGGCACCUCGAUGUCGGCUCAUCGCAUCCUGGGGCGGUAGUACGUCCCAAGGGUUGGGCUGUUCGCCCAUGAAAGCGGUACGCGAGCUGGGUUCAGAACGUCGUGAGACAGUUCGGUCCAUAUCCGGUGUAGGCGUUAGAAUAUUGAGAGGAGCCUUCUUUAGUACGAGAGGACCGAGAAGGACAUACCUCUGGUGUACCAGUUAUCGUGCCAACGGUAAACGCUGGGUAGCUAUGUAUGGAGAGGAUAACCGCUGAAAGCAUCUAAGUGGGAAGCCCACCUCAAGAUAAGUAUUCUC